rnacentral:lncRNA from 1 species
UGGCACCCCUGUAGCCGCUAUGUUUCCCACGCCCGUGGCAGGCCUGAGAGAUUAUGUUUGCGGGGGGUGCUUUUUUUGUAGCUUCUGUGUUCGCCAUAUUUGAAAGGGGCAGACGGCCAUGUUCGUGAACGGCGCUUCCCUUGGUGCACCUGUGGCCGCCAUGUUUGAGCGAGGACCCCGUGGCAGGCCAGGACCGUUUCUCCGGUGCUAUCCCAGAGCAUGGCGCAUCCACUCAUUCACUCAAGGAAAGCCAGGGGUCUGUGCGGGGAUGCUGCAGGACACGAGAACCAGCCAAGACCUAUGGCCCCUGCAGCCACCGAGGGCUCGAGAGCGCCCCUGUGGACUUGGCUGGGCCCUUCAUGGUGACAUCCAGGAAUGCGGCUGAGCGCGGCGUCUCUGAAUUGGGAUGCAUCUGACAGCAAGUGUGGCAUCCGGGCUGCAGUUGCCGUUGUCUGCUCACAUGUGAAUUAAAAAAACAAUCUCAGCAUAUGAAAUCUCUAAUCGCGUAUGAACUUGGUGGUUAUUCCUGGUGCCGUGUGGAUAACUGCAGCCUCAACACCCCAGUCCACAAACCACGUACGGACCAACUGAGGAAGGAGUAGGGGUUCUUGUUGUUGCAGAAAACCCUCCCUCAACUUGCUCUAGAAGAUACCAGCAUUCAUACUUGGAGUGGGCAUCAGCAGCUUGGAAGACACAGCAGUGGGCCCCUCUUAGCAGGAGUGCCCCAUCUCAUGGCUCCCGACGACGACCCAGAGGGUGAUGCUGCGUAGGGGCUCACGGACAUUGGCACUCUAAGUCAGAGAUGCUCAGGUGAAGGGGGCUCUGAUGGUGAGGACAUUCAGAAAUAACAGAG